rnacentral:lncRNA from 1 species
CAUUUUUUGAUGCAAUAUUUUGAAAGAAAAGUGUUGUACAGCUUCAUCAGUGCUGCAUGCAUUUCUUGGUUUCCUUUUUUGCUGUGUGCUUCCCUCCAGCCUGGCUGUCUGUGUCCACCUGUCGACCCUGCUCUUAUAUUUCAAUUGAAUUUGCCAUUUGGAAAAAGGAAAAAAGAAAAAUGUUUAAUUAGAGAUGGAGCUAAAGCAGCUAAUUUGAUCUUCCAAUGGAAAAAAGAAUUACAGGUUAAAAAUGAAGAUUAUAUGCUCUGGGUGAAGAAUGCUCCCUCCUUUCAGGAAUGUGAGGAUUAGAUGGUCUUCUCUGCUUGUGUGGUGACUCCACCAAUGCCCUGCGAAGCGAUCAUGUUCUCCUUUCCUAAAGCCCGGGUUGGAUUGGCAGCAGCGGUGCAACAGCAGAUGCAUGAAUGGGAUUCCAGUGUGCAGCAUCCCAUCCGUGAGGGAAGGAGGGCACCGCUCUGCAGGACGAGCUUCAUGGGAGCUGGAGCAGGACCUUGGAGCCAAGCGAGGACUCCAAGAAAACAUGGGUGGCAUCCAGCUCUGCUUCACAGGCAGUGAAACCCGCUGACUGCAGCACCAUGAUUUCUGAAGGUCGGAUCCAGCUGCCAGGCUGAAAGUUUUCAGUGGAGUAAAGUGGCUGCGAGUGACAGCAGGAAGCGGCCAGCAAGCUGCACAAGUGGCAGAAUGAGGUCUUAGAUCCCCUUGCUAAGUACCUUGGCCACUAUAAGCAACUUCUGGUCUCUCUGGUGUGCACCUCAUGGUCUGGAGGACUGUCAUUGCCCAGGAUAUUUCAAAGCGUUUCCUGAGCUCAUUGGUACACUUACUUCUUUUUCAGAAUUAAGCAGCUUUUUGGCCAAGUAAAACUUCAAGGGUGUUGGGGAGGACAGAAAUAAAUCAUAGAAUCAGUAAGGUUGGAAAAGACCU